rnacentral:rRNA from 1 species
AGUCGAACGAAGCCUUCGGGCUUAGUGGCGCACGGGUGCGUAACGCGUGGGAAUCUGCCCUUGGGUUCGGAAUAACAGUGAGAAAUUACUGCUAAUACCGGAUGAUGUCUUCGGACCAAAGAUUUAUCGCCCAAGGAUGAGCCCGCGUUAGAUUAGCUAGUUGGUGGGGUAAUGGCCUACCAAGGCGACGAUCUAUAGCUGGUCUGAGAGGAUGAUCAGCCACACUGGGACUGAGACACGGCCCAGACUCCUACGGGAGGCAGCAGUGGGGAAUAUUGGACAAUGGGCGAAAGCCUGAUCCAGCAAUGCCGCGUGAGUGAUGAAGGCCUUAGGGUUGUAAAGCUCUUUUACCAGGGAUGAUAAUGACAGUACCUGGAGAAUAAGCUCCGGCUAACUCCGUGCCAGCAGCCGCGGUAA